rnacentral:rRNA from 1 species
UACGGGGGGGGGUAAGCGUUGUUCGGAAUUACUGGGCGUAAAGGGCUCGUAGGCGGCCAACUAAGUCGGACGUGAAAUCCCUCAGCUUAACUGGGGAACUGCGUCCGAUACUGGAUGGCUUGGAUUUGGGAGAGGGAUGCGGAAUUCCAGGUGUAGCGGUGAAAUGCGUAGAUAUCUGGAGGAACACCGGUGGCGAAGGCGGCAUCCUGGACCAACACUGACGCUGAGGCACGAAAGCGUGGGGAGCAAACAGG